AGCCCAGAGUACCUUCCCGGGAGUGGGGGCGAGCCCUUCGAGGGGGCGCAGAGCCCUGGGACGCCCGGGGAGGGGCGGAGGUGGAGGAACGCUUGACCUGGCUGGCGACCCACACCCAUCCGGCGGCGCAGCACUUUCCUCCGCCCCCAGUUACACACGCACUCACGGGGGCGGGUGGGGGGAGCAGUGGCUGUGCAAAGCCCCGCGCUGCCACCGCGGCGGGAGGGAUGCGCCAGCUUUCGGGUCAACGUGCCCCCCAGAAUGAGGGGGAAAGUGCUUUGCUCUUCGGGCCUGCCCCGUUCUUCUGUCCACGUUAGAAGAGUUUUUGUUGUUCUGCAGCUGUAUGGGACUGACCUUAAACUUUCCCCGACCUCUUCUCGAGACCCUGGGGCUCGGGUCGUGGUGGCCACCGGGGAUCGAGGAUCCAAAUAUAUGGAAAAGAAGGAACUCCAGUGCCCAGCUUCUUAUCUCUACCCUGCUUUUUAGAAACAGACUAUAAAUUCCCAGGAGGUUUCGGGAGUUCACGUCUGCACUCACCAGCUAACCUUUGGGAAAAACCUUUUGAUUCGGGGUCCUGUUGUACUUAAAGGCUAGUCCCUGAAGGUGCGCGUGAUGGAAAAAAGGGCUUCCACCCCAGUCGCGCCCCAAGAUGCUCUCCAAGUUUUGGUGUCCCGUUUGCUCUGAGCUUAUCCUGGAGAAUUUCAGAAGCACAAGCCAAAUCCACUGAAAGAUGCGCCAUUGAGAAGAACAAAUAAGUCCCUAGUUCCCACUUCUUCUGAUUCUCCAGCCGUCCAUCCCUGGAGAUUCUUUCUCAGCCAGGAUGCAAUCUUCAUCACCGGGAGAAUUUGACCCUCUUCUUUGAAACACUUCAGGGUGUGGUGGGUUUUUUGGUCUUUGUUGCUAAGUACAGAGUUACUUAGAUGCCUCCUGCAUGAGAAAGGGGCUGUUUUCCUCUUGACUUUUUUUUCUACUGAAGUGACUGGAAACAGGUGUACAGAUUGGGACAUGAGAUGGUGUAGAAAUCCUAGUACCGUGGACCAUGCAGGAAGAAUCUCUGGGUGAGGGAAGGGUCGCUCUUGAUUCGCCAGAGUAUCCUACAUCGGCUUGUGUGUCAUCCAGCAUGCAUAGUGCCAAGUUCUGCUUCCUAAGCCUUUUCUCUUCCUUAGUGAGUGACAGAUAGGGGAGGUGGAUGAGGAGGAAGUGAGAUGCCUCCAGAGGCAGAUGUAUGAAGGAGCAGACCAGCAACCAGGGCUGUGACUCACCACUUCCACAGGAACCACACCUGGGGCAACAUCCAGCCCAGUGGCCACUCACCCUAAAGGCCUUCUUCACCAUGUGAAGGGGUUAGCAGGCCUGUGUCAGAUCUGCCUACCACCAUAAGAUGGGUCACUGCAAGAGCUCCAUUGCCUGAAAAUGGAAGGAAUGAGAAAAGCCUGGUAUGGAAAGCCAGGAGGAGCCAGCCCUGCCAAGGGAUGAAGAUGUUGUUUGUACCAGGAUGGGUCCCAGCAGCACCAUCUGUUGGUGAGCUCACUUCAUUGAGAACAUCUUACACAAGAUUAGUCAGGUGUUGUUAAGAAAGAAGGAGAGAAAGAAAGACAGACAGACAGACAGAAAGAAAGAAAGAGAAGGAAGGAAAGGAAGAAAGAAAGAGAGGAAGAAAGAAAAGAGAA